UCCAGACUCCUACGGGAGGCAGCAGUGAGGAAUAUUGGUCAAUGGGCGCGAGCCUGAACCAGCCAAGUCGCGUGAGGGAAGACGGUCCUAUGGAUUGUAAACCUCUUUUGUCGGGGAGCAAAAGACGCCACGCGUGGCGUUCCGAGAGUACCCGAAGAAAAAGCAUCGGCUAACUCCGUGCCAGCAGCUGCGGUAAUACGGAGGAUGCGAGCGUUAUCCGGAUUUACUGGGUGUAAAGGGAGCGUAGACGGUGCGCCAAGUUUGGAGUGAAAUGCCGCAGCUUAACUGCGGAACUGCUUUGGAAACUGGCGAACUAGAGUGCGGGAGGGGUAAGCGGAAUUCCUAGUGUAGCGGUGAAAUGCGUAGAUAUUAGGAGGAACACCGGUGGCGAAGGCGGCUUACUGGACCGUAACUGACGUUGAGGCUCGAAAGCGUGGGGAGCAAACAGGAUUAGAUACCCUGGUA
rnacentral:rRNA from 1 species